AACGUAGGAGACAAACGUUAUCCGGAGUUACUGGGCGUAAAGGGCGUGUAGGCGGUCGACUAAGUCUGGCGUGAAAGCUCGCGGCUAAACCGCGAGAGGUCGUUGGAUACUGGUUGACUAGAGGACGGUAGAGGCGUGUGGAAUUCCGGGUGUAGUGGUGAAAUGCGUAGAGAUCCGGAGGAACCCCAGAGGCGAAGGCGACGCCCUGGCUCGUACCUGACGCUCAGCCACGAAAGCAUGGGGAGCGAACGGG
rnacentral:rRNA from 1 species